rnacentral:misc_RNA from 1 species
AAUGAAAAACUAUUAGCAAGAAGCAAAAAACCGAAGCGCAGCUCGGUAAAAAGCAACGCAAGUGAGAAAGGGAUAGCAGCUGUUUUUGCUGUCGGCAUCGCCUUUGAGGCUCUAAGGACAAUGGUUCAAGUGCAAAGAGGAUGCCGCGCCAAACGGAGAGUGCAACACCGACACAGGGACAAGGACAGGGACUGGGAGAGGCAGCAGCGGCAAACAGGAAACAGGGAGACAGUGCAAGGACGCGCAUUUGCUUUUCGCCGCUUUUGGCCUGUGUGUGUUGCAACACGAUGCGCUCAAAAGGUGCAGCAAAAGGAAAUACUUCUCUUCAUUGAACCUGGUCGCACUCCACUGCACAAAGGAAAAACGAAUUUCACAACAAUCGUAAAUGGGGAGAAAAUGUGGAAUACUCACGGCUCACAUAUAAGCCAAUAUCAAAUUAUAAUCAAAUAAUGAGAAAUGGUGCAUACUUACAUAUGGACCAUUAACAGAAAC